rnacentral:rRNA from 1 species
GACGAACGCUGGCGGCGUGCUUAACACGUGCAAGUCGAACGGAAAGGCCUGCUUUCCCUUGUGGAUUGCGGGUACUCGAGUGGCGAACGGGAGAGUAACACGUGAGUGAUCUGCCCCCAACUUGGGUAUAAGCCUGGGAAACUGGGUCUAAUUCCCGAUAGGACUGCAGGGUGGUGCCUGUGGUGGAAAACGAUUUUCUAGUGGUUGGGGAUGAGCUCGCGGCCUAUCAGCUUGUUGGUGGGGUAAUGGCCUACCAAGGCGGCGACGGGUAGCCGGCCUGAGAUGGUGGACGGCCACAUUGGGACUGAGAGACGGCCCAGACUCCUACGGGAGGCAGCAGUGGGGAAUAUUGCACGAUGGGCGGAAGCCUGAUGCAGCGACGCCGCGUGGGGGAUGACGGCCUUCGGGUGGUAAACUCCUUUCGACCGCGAGGAAGCCACCUGGUUGGAAGGGUGGUGACGGUAGUGGUAGAAGAAGCACCGGCUAACUACGUG